GCCAUACGUGUCAUGAGUAACUCAGACUGCUUCCCCUACUGCAGAUCAACAGCAGAGUGUGGACUCACAGUUUACUGAUUUUCCUACCAGGAAGAGCAUGUGCUGACCAACAGAUACGAAUUUCAACUAGGAGUUCUAACUCUCACAGCCUGUCUCCCUCAACUAGAACGUCAGCCCCACUAGGGCGAGAAUCUUCUAUUACCUCAUGUGUUCACUGUUAUGUCUACGGCGCCCAAAGCUGUGCCUGACACCGGAGCAAGAUUUGGGGAGGAAAUAAAGGGCGAC